rnacentral:rRNA from 1 species
GAUGAACGCUGGCGGCGUGCCUAAUACAUGCAAGUCGAGCGAACGGACGAGAAGCUUGCUUCUCUGAUGUUAGCGGCGGACGGGUGAGUAACACGUGGAUAACCUACCUAUAAGACUGGGAUAACUUCGGGAAACCGGAGCUAAUACCGGAUAAUAUUUUGAACCGCAUGGUUCAAAAGUGAAAGACGGUCUUGCUGUCACUUAUAGAUGGAUCCGCUCUGCAUUAGCUAGUUGGUAAGGUAACGGCUUACCAAGGCAACGAUGCAUAGCCGACCUGAGAGAGUUACCGGCCACACUGGAACUAAGACACGCUCCAUACUCCUACGGGAGGCACCAGUAGGGAAUCUUCCGCACUGGGCGCCAGCCUGACGGUACAACGCCGCGUGAGUUACGAAGGUCUUCGGAUCCUCAAACUCUGUUUUUAGGUAAGAACAUAUGUGUAACUAACUGUGCACAUCUUGACGGUGCCUACCCAGAAAGCCACGGCUAACUACGUG